rnacentral:lncRNA from 1 species
AGGUGUUCUGGAUAAGGAUUUAUUCCAUUUUCAAACAUUAGAGCACAUAAUGAAGAUGACACGAACAUGGGACUCAACCAUGUCAAUGAUACCAAGAGGAGGGGACACGAUCUGGGGCGAUCUUGACUGGUCACCUGAGGAAGGCUAUUCUCCUUGCAAAAGUAAGUCUAAAGAUGACGCCGCUCAAAUUUCAGGUCGCACAAUCUGGGGCGAUCUUGACUGGUCACCCGAGGAAGGCUAUUCUCCUUGCAAAAGUAAGUCUAAAGAUGAUGCCGCUCAGAUUUCAGGCAGUGACGAGAAUCGAACUACAGAUUCUAAUGCAAAAUAUUACAGUUAUGGAAGGAUGAUAUCCUUUGGAAAGGAUGCAGCAAAGGCACAUUCAUCAGACCUCAAGAGGAUUGACUUUAGGGUAAUGUUAAUCAGAAACCAAAUUCUCUCAUUGGUUCUCUCGUAUGUGCUAUUUUCCUCUAUUUGUUUCAACUUUCAACAUUGAUUUCAUUGGUAGUGGGUGCGGGUGAUUCUGAAUAACCAGUUUAAUGGACUUCUACUAUAGAAAUGCUGAAGGCGUGGGGUGGAUCUAGUGAAUAAGCUGUGGGUUCAUUUGAACCCAAUAGCUUUAGCUUAGACCAUAAAGUGCAAAUUCUAGAUCCUGGAUCCACCUCUGCUAGAGGCACCAAAAAAUAGCAGAAAUAAAUUUAUAUAAAAAGUAGUUAGCACUUUGAUGUGAAGUUCUUGUUCUAAUUCCAGUUUACUUAUAUUUUUAUGCUAUAGGCAAGCAUUCGUUAGGCCAAGCAAGGGUAUGACCUGUCACCUUGCUAAAAACUGCUGCUUUUGGGGAACUACCAAAGUAUGAAUUGGGUACCUGGUCAUAACAAAACCAAUGGCCACACAUGGUUGCAUGGUUAAGAGCCAAUGCAAUGUGCUUGGUGUGAUGUCAGUGUAAAAUAAUGGAAACAAAUGAAGUCUAACCAUAUUUUACAAGUGGAUGAUGCCGUUGUGUAUCAAAAUUUUCUAGACAUCCUUAAUUAUUGCAUUCUCUUUUUGUGAUCAGUACUAGGUGAUGACUUAUCGACAAAAAAGAAAGAAAUAUGAUAAAGCACCACAUAAAGCAUUCCUUAAACACUUGCUAUCUCAGCAAAAUAAUCUGUUCAAAGUUUCCUUUUUGAAAAAAAGAAAAAAUCUCCCCUGCCAAUGAAAAUUACAAAGGUGGUUACAGUUAAGAUCAUAUUAAAUGUACUGCUGAAAAGUAUUUCUUUUACUUGCAAAUAAUACUCCAAGCUUGUCACUCGUCCCUUUUUUAUGGAAUGAGGCACUCCAUUCGUUAUUCCAAUUCAUCCGAAAUCAUUAUGCUCCAAAUAGACUAUAAGAGUCAAGUUCUGUUUAUGUGUGUGCUGAAAAUCUGCUGAUCAGAAGCAGAACUAGACAAGCAAAGCAUCAUAACUGCCAGGGAAAAGCAAUGGAAAAAUAGAACCAUGUUCUCUCAAAUAUCUCAAAUUUGAAAACCACAUUGGCUAUGACGUGCAAUGUGCCUCUUGUAGAGCGAAGAUAUGCCUAUUUCCUUACUUUUUCUUUUAAUUAAUACUCCCAUUUAACAUCCUUAUGUCAGCAGCAACACAUGUGAAAUGUGCAUCAGUCAAGUGUUUCCAUGGGAUUGAACUGAAUAACAUUAGAAAUGAAUGAUCAAUCAUGUCUCAGUGUCCUUCCAUAUAAUGGGUGUCUUUUCUUCCUAUUUAUGCUAAUUUGAAACGUCUUCUGUCUGUCAAGUUAUGUCUUAAUUUUUUGUGCUUUCAGGCUGUGCUAAAUAAUAUUAUCUCUCCC